rnacentral:lncRNA from 1 species
GAAAUUUUGUUUUAGUUUGAAUUCUAGGAGGUCAGUACAGUAGUUUAAGGAACAAACAUAGAGGCAACUAGUCCAAAAACUACAGGAAGAUAUGGUUCUGACGUGAUAUGGAACUAGUUCAAAAACUGCAUCAAGUCAACAAAAUAUGGUUUCAUUAUUAAGUGAUUUGACGUGUAUGCAACUAAUUCAAGUACUUGAGUAAUAAAGAAAUCGAAAUUCAAUUAUCAUUCCAUUUUGAAGCCGAAAGCGUCCUUUUGGCUAUAUCUUCUCGUAGGCUCGGCGGAUUGCCGAACCAACUUCGCCAACGUGUUCGCUUUACCUUCAAUUACGUUUGCACGCGAGCAAUUUCAAGUUAGGGUCUCAAUCCUGCAAAAGUGCAUUAUCGAGCUUAGUGAAUACACUUUACUAGUUUCAACUUCCAACUAGUUUCAACUUCGAACUUCAUAUUAACUAGUUUCAACUUCCAACUGCCGAUUGCCAACUAGCUUCAACUUUCAACUAGUUUCAACUAUUUAUGAUAACAUAGUUUCA